rnacentral:rRNA from 1 species
UCGCCUGUUUAACAAAAACAUGUCCUUUAGUUAUUUAUUUAAGGUCUGACCUGCCCAAUGAUUUUUUAAUGGCCGCGGUAUAUUAACCGUGCAAAGGUAGCAUAAUCACUUGUCUCUUAAUUGGAGGCUGGAAUGAAUGGUUGGACGAGAAAUAUACUUUCUUUUUUUUAAUUUAUGAAUUUUAUUUUCUAGUUAAAAAGCUGGAAUUUUUUUAUAGGACGAGAAGACCCUAUAGAAUUUUAUAUUUUUAUAAUUCUGUCUUUUUUUGUUUUCUAUUAAGAUACAAUUUAUAAUAUAUUUUGUUGGGGCGACAGGUAAAUUUUUUUAACUUUUCUUUUUUCCUUCAUUAAUCUAUGUUUUUAUGAUCCGUUUAUUUACGAUUAAAAGAUUAAAUUACCUUAGGGAUAACAGCGUUAUUCUUUUGGAGAGUUCUUAUCGAUAAAGGAGUUUGCGACCUCGAUGUGGGAUUAAAA